rnacentral:rRNA from 1 species
UGGGGAAUAUUGCACAAUGGGCGCAAGCCUGAUGCAGCCAUGCCGCGUGUGUGAAGAAGGCCUUCGGGUUGUAAAGCACUUUCAGCGAGGAGGAAGGUGGUGAGCUUAAUACGCUCAUCAAUUGACGUUACUCGCAGAAGAAGCACCGGCUAACUCCGUGCCAGCAGCCGCGGUAAUACGGAGGGUGCAAGCGUUAAUCGGAAUUACUGGGCGUAAAGCGCACGCAGGCGGUUUGUUAAGUCAGAUGUGAAAUCCCCGGGCUCAACCUGGGAACUGCAUUUGAAACUGGCAAGCUAGAGUCUCGUAGAGGGGGGUAGAAUUCCAGGUGUAGCGGUGAAAUGCGUAGAGAUCUGGAGGAAUACCGGUGGCGAAGGCGGCCCCCUGGACGAAGACUGACGCUCAGGUGCGAAAGCGUGGGGCAGCAAACAGGAUUAGAUACCCUGGUAGUCCACGCUGUAAAACGAUGUCGAUUUUGGAGGUUGUGCCCUUGAGGCGUGGCUUCCGGAGCUAACGCGUUAAAUCGACCGCCUGGGGAGUACGGCCGCAAGAUUAAAACUU